GCAUAUCAAUAAGCGGAGGAAAAGAAACCAACAGGGAUUGCCCUAGUUAACGGCGAAGUGAAGCGGCAACAGCUUCAAAUUUGAAAUCUGGCGUCUUUUGGCGUCCGAAGUUGUAAUUUGCAGAAGGGCGCUUUGGCAUUGGCAGCGGUCCAAGUUCCUUGGAACAGGACGUCACAGAGGGUGAGAAUCCCGUACGUGGUCGCUAGCCUUUACCGUGUAAAGCCCCUUCGACGAGUCGAGUUGUUUGGGAAUGCAGCUCUAAAUGGGAGGUAAAUUUCUUCUAAAGCUAAAUACUGGCCAGAGACCGAUAGCGCACAAGUAGAGUGAUCGAAAGAUGAAAAGCACUUUGGAAAGAGAGUUAAAAAGCACGUGAAAUUGUUGAAAGGGAAGCGCUUGCAGCCAGACUUGCCUGUAGUUGCUCAUCUGGGUUUUUACCCAGUGCACUCUUCUAUAGGCAGGCCAGCAUCAGUUUGGGCGGUUGGAUAAAGGUCUCUGUCAUGUACCUCUCUUCGGGGAGAACUUAUAGGGGAGACGACAUGCAACCAGCCUGGACUGAGGUCCGCGCAUCUGCUAGGAUGCUGGCGUAAUGGCUGUAAGCGGCCCGUCUUGAAACACGGACCAAGGAGUCUAACAUCUAUGCGAGUGUUUGGGUGUCAAGCCCGAGCGCGUAAUGAAAGUGAACGGAGGUGGGAACCUUUCGGGGUGCACCAUCGACCGAUCCUGAUGUCUUCGGAUGGAUUUGAGUAAGAGCAUAGCUGUUGGGACCCGAAAGAUGGUGAACUAUGCUUGAAUAGGGUGAAAGCCAGAGGAAACUCUGGUGGAGGCUCGCAGCGGUUUCUGACGUGCAAAUCGAUUCGUCAAAUUUGGGCAUAGGGGCGAAAGACUAAUCGAACUAUCUAGUAGCUGGUUCCUGCCGA
rnacentral:rRNA from 1 species